CUAGAGUCAUAUGAACACGGUCAUUCCGCUAGAGCCAAUCACAGGGCUUCGGGAGGCGGGAUCUAGAGCGGGUGGGUAGCAACAGUUGCCCCGGUGAGGAAGAAGCGCCAUAGCCACGGUAGUCCUGGCGACAAGAACCCAGCAACGAGAGUCAACAACAACAACAGCCUGAAACCUUGAAAAAAAUAAAAACCCAAUAUACCAGUUGGAAAUUCUCUCGGAAUAAGAGGUGAAAAUCUUAAAUAAUUACGUAAUCCGACAUUUUACGUUUCAGAAGAAAAUGUCUGUCAGGAUUGCUGUUGUUUUAUCUAACAGCCAAAUCGGCUAGGUAGCAAGCUAGCGAUCGCUAGCUUCAUAUAUCAGAAGCACAAUAAGGCUCACUGGCUAUUUAGCCAGCUUGGUUCGAAUAGCCGUCUGACUUGAUGUUUCAGUAUUUCUAAAACAGGCUGUUGUUAUGGCGAUGUCAAAUGCACGAUAGGCUGUACAAAAUGGCGGGGAUGAUGCUAGCUAGCUACUAUACGUGACACUAGCCGCUGCUUACAUCUCACAUAUCACGUUACCAGCUAGCCAGCUAUCUACCUGACGAGUUUUUUGAUCAGUCUGUCUUUUAUGUCAAAAUUAAAAUGUCUGUGAUAUGUUAUCUAACAUACUAGCAGCCACUAGAACAAAAUCAUCUAGCUGGCAGUGUUGAGUCUGGGCUCUCCUGAUGGCCACGCCAGCCUACGUGGGGGAGCUGCCGCAGUCCUCCCAGCCACCGGGGGGCAGUGUGAGCGUGGUGGCAGGCCAGCCGGACGCCGCCGCAGCAGCCACCGCUCCGCCGGCGCAGUUCCUGGCCGAGAUCCCCACCACCAUCAUCACAGGGACCACCACGCCCCCUGUUGACCAGACCACGCCCCCUGCAUCUCAGGCUCCUCCCACACAUUCCCAGAACUCCCCGGUGGCCUCCACGCCGGCCCCGCCCACCCAGACACAGUACGUUGCCACGGAGAUCCAGAGCUCGCCCACCCAGACCAACGCCCAGAGCACGCCGCAGUACAUCGUCGUCACGGUGACCGAAGGUUCUCUCCACUCCAGUGACUCUGUGUCCGACUCCAGUCCUCCUCCUGCUGUGGUCCAGACAGGGGUUCCCACACAGGUGGUGCAGCAGGUACAGGCCGGCCAGCAGACGUCAGUGUUGCAGGCCAAUUCACAGGCUGCAAAGACGGAGCAGGGUACCCAGCUGACUGUUACCAGUCUGCAGCCUGUCCACAUCACACAAGAGCAGCUUCAGCAGGUGCCAGUCCAGCAUGUGUACACUAACCAGGUGCAGUAUGUGGAGCCAGGAGACCCGACCUACACCACCAGCACCAUUCGCUCCAGCAGCUUCACCUACUCCGAGGCUCCUCUCUACACUCAGACCUCCGCCGGCACCUCCUAUUACGAGACCACGCCCACCUCCGGCUCCCCCUCCACCCCGGCCACGCCUCUCACCGUUGCCGUGACGACCGGCGCCGCGGGCUCCGUCUCCAUGUUCGUGGCAGGGGCGGGGCAGAUCGUAGCCAAUCCCGUCGUGACAUCGGGAGCAGGGGGAGGGGCCGCAUCGGUGGUUGCCACGGGGUCUGCCGGCACAGCCAAUGGCACGGGGGAAGGCGGGGCUUCUAACGGGGGAGGCGGGAGCUAUGUGAUCCAGGGCGGGUACAUGCUAGGAGGCGGAGCUAACAGCAACAGCAGCGGCGGCGCGAGCAGCAGCAGCAGCAGCGGUAGUCAUGGCUACACACACACACACUCACACACCCCCACGGCGCGAGCCUCCCCCACCACCGUGAGCGUCUGUGAGGGGGAGGACAGUAGCGUGCCCUCGGCGGACAAGAAGGUGCAGUGGCUAUUAGAUAACUACGAGACAGCUGAAGGUGUGAGUCUCCCCCGCUCCACUCUCUACUGCCACUACCUGCUGCACUGCCAGGACCAGAAGCUGGAGCCCGUCAACGCCGCCUCCUUCGGCAAACUCAUACGAUCAGUCUUCAUGGGGCUCCGCACACGCCGCCUGGGCACACGGGGUAACUCUAAGUAUCAUUACUACGGUCUGAGGAUCAAAGCCAGCUCGUCUCUACUCAGGCUUAUGGAGGACCAGCAGCACCUAGCCAUGAGGCAGCAACCCUUCUCCCAGAAACAGAGGAUGAAGGCAGUGCAGAAGGUGGAGGGGAUGACCAAUGGGACGUCCUCUUCCAGCUCAGGCUCCGCCCAGCAGCAGGGGAGUGGUGGCCUGUCUGACAUCAGCGCUCAGGUGCAGCAGUACCAGCAGUUCCUAGACGCGUCACGUGUGCUCCCAGAGUUCCCUGAGCUGGACCUGCAGGGUAAGGCGCUCCCAGAGGGCAUCGAGAUGGAACACAUCAAGAGCUUUCAGCUGCUGUACCGGGAACACUGCGAGGCUAUCCUGGAUGUGAUGGUGAACCUGCAGUUCACUCUUGUGGAGACUCUUUGGAAGACCUUCUGGAGGUUCAGUGAGAACCAGACCACAGAUACAGGAACACUGGCUGUCCAUGAUGAGUCGGAGCGACGCCUGCCCAAGUCCUGUCUGGUGCUGUUGUGUAAGUACGACCCGGUCGUCCGCUGGAGUCGAGACUGCGACAACACACUGUACCAGGGCCUGGUGGAGAUCCUCAUACCGGAUGUGCUGCGACCCAUACCCAGUGCCUUAACCCAAGCCAUCCGUAACUUUGCCAAGAGCCUGGACAGCUGGUUGACCAACGCCAUGAUGAACGUUCCAGAGGAGAUGGUCCGCGUCAAGGUGACGUGUGCUAGUGCGUUUGCGCAGACGUUGCGCCGGUACACGUCUCUGAACCAUCUGGCGCAGGCGGCACGAGCCGUUCUCCAGAACACCGCCCAGAUCAACCAGAUGCUCUCCGACCUCAACCGCGUGGACUUCGCCAACGUGCAGGAGCAGGCCUCGUGGGUGUGUCGGUGUGAGGACCGUGUGGUCCAGCGUCUCGAGCAGGACUUCAAGCUCACGCUGCAGCAGCAGAACUCUCUAGAACAAUGGGCCGCCUGGCUGGACGGCGUCGUCUCCCAGAUCCUAAAGCCCUACGUGUCCACGGCCGCCUUCCCCAAAGCAGCCAAACUCUUCCUGCUCAAGUGGUCCUUCUACAGUUCUAUGGUGAUCAGGGACCUGACUCUGCGCAGUGCUGCUAGUUUCGGCUCGUUCCACCUGAUCCGACUCCUGUACGACGAGUAUAUGUACUACCUGAUCGAACACAGGGUCGCCCAGGCCAAAGGAGAAACACCCAUCGCUGUCAUGGGAGAGGUAACACACACACACACACACACACACACACACACACACACACACACACACACACACACUACUCCUGUACGACGAGUACAUGUACUACCUGAUAGAACACAGGGUCGCCCAGGCCAAAGGAGAAACACCCAUCGCUGUCAUGGGAGAGGUAACACACACACACACACACACACACACACACACACACACACACACACACACACACACACACACACUACUCCUCUAUGACGAGUACAUGUACUACCUGAUCGAACACAGGGUCGCCCAGGCCAAAGGAGAAACACCCAUCGCUGUCAUGGGAGAGUUUGCCAGUCUUGGCCACAGUUUGAACCCACUGGACCCAGACAAAGAAGAGGAAGAGGAGGAGGAAGAGGAGAGUGAUGAUGAGUGCCAGGAGCUUUCGCUGCCUUCUGACGUAACUCUUGGCACCGACUCCUUGGAGCCACCCGCCAAGCUGGCCCGCACGGAUCAGAGAGUCCUGUUGAAUUAAACACACACACACACACACACACACACACACACACACACACACACACACAGACACACACACAC